rnacentral:rRNA from 1 species
GAAUAAGUCCCGGCUAACUACGUGCCAGCAGCCGCGGUAAAACGUAGGGGACGAGCGUUAUCCGGAUUCACUAGGCGUAAAGAGCGUUGAGGCGGUUCCGUAAGUUGGGCGUGAAAGCUCCGGGCUUAACCCGGAGAUGUCGUUCAAUACUGCGGGGCUUGAGGACAGCAGAGGAAGGUGGAAUUCCCGGUGUAGUGGUGAAAUGCGUAGAUAUCGGGAGGAACACCCGUGGCGAAGGCGGCCUUCUGGGCUGUUCCUGACGCUGAAGGCGAAAGCUAGGGGAGCGAACGGGAUUAGAUACCCCGGUAGUCCUAGCUGUAAACGAUGGAUGCUGGGUGUGGGGGGUGUAAAUUCCCUCUGUGCCGAAGCAAACGCGUUAAGCAUCCCGCCUGGGGACUACGGCCGCAAGGCUAAAACUCAAACGAAUUGACGGGGGCCCGCACAAGCAGCGGAGCGUGUGGUUUAAUUCGAUGCUACACGAAGAACCUUACCUGGGUUUGACAUGCACGUGGUAGGGAACCGAAAGGGGACCGACCUUCGGGAGCGUGCACAGGUGCUGCAUGGCUGUCGUCAGCUCGUGCCGUGAGGUGUCGGGUUAAGUCCCGUAACGAGCGCAACCCUUGCCCUUAGUUACAAGUGUCUAAGGGGACUGCCCGGGACAACUGGGAGGAAGGUGGGGAUGACGUCAAGUCAGCAUGGCCUUUAUAUCCAGGGCUACACACACGCUACAAUGGCCAGUACAAUAGGUAGCCAAGUCGUGAGACGGAGCCAAUCCUUAAAGCUGGUCUCAGUUCGAAUUGCAGUCUGCAACUCGACUGCAUGAAGC